AAACAUUGUCAAUUCAAAACUUCCGCGGUUGGUUUGAUGACGUUUUUUUUAUUCAGUUUUUGUUUUGUGCAUUUUUCUACAAAAAACAUGCAAUUUGAUGUCGGCGGUAACAGGUUUGAUGCUCGUUACUAUAUCAGGGUGUGGCAUCUUUCAUGUUCACAUCAGGUGGCACUGAGAUUCCUGAACAUUCGUCAUCGUGAUAUUUAACAGUGACGCUGUGUGAAUGAAGGCCCCUGUUACUUAGUAGCAUGUCUACACCUCAUCUUUCAGGUACCCAAGUAUGAAGACCAUGCAUAUGCAAAAGCAGAGUGUCCUAGUAAGCCUCGGUUAGCUUCAACAUCAACCAGCGUCCAGACCGAAGAUCAGUCAUACUGCCACGAUGAACACAUCUUUAAAGCACAUCCUAUAACAGAGACUUAUGUCCAGACAGACUUAAAUGCAAAAUGUGAUAAGACAGUUCAGAUUGACUCUUUUGAUGGUGAUAUGUGUAAGAAUUUGACUGAAAUCAAGCAGAAAAACCAGAUGAAAAUCAUAAAAACUUUAAAGGAAAAAGUGACAGACCUGUCCAAGGAAUGCACUGAACUGAAGAGGAGAGUGUUCUCAUCUUCAAAUAUGCUGCAUUCCAAUGACCAGGUCCAGUUUUACACUGGACUUCCAAAUUUGGAGACUUAUAAUGCACUGUUUAAUUAUUUACAACCAAAGGCACUAAAGGCGAGGAGACACGGCGAAUUGCAGAAGUUCGUAUUCAUGUGGAGCGAGAAAUACAGCGAAUAAAGACAUUUUCCAUAUUGUGUGGAACAAUGCCAAUUACUUUGCAGAUGGUUGCGGAGGACAUAUUUAAAACAUGUGCAUACCUGACAAACUUCCAAACACCUUUAUUGAAAUCUGAGUAAUAGAGACUGUUUUUAGUUGUCAUCUACACAAACUUGUUGUUUGA